GAUGCUGACUUUCUGCAGCUUGAAUCCUGGUCCUGAAACAAGCCUCAGCUGGGCCUGGAGCACAGAAACAAGGUCUGUGAACUUGCUUAACAGCACAGAAACCACCAAACAAGAAAUAAAGCCCAAUUAAGAAAAACGAAGGAAGAGGCUCAGGAGAACAGUUUGUUUGGGUAGGGCUGUGCCGUCAGACCCCAGCUGACCCCUUUACUCCUCCUGGUGAAG
rnacentral:lncRNA from 1 species